rnacentral:rRNA from 1 species
UACGAAGGGGGCUAGCGUUGUUCGGAAUUACUGGGCGUAAAGCGCAUGUAGGCGGCGAUUCAAGUCGGGGGUGAAAUCCCAGGGCUCAACCCUGGAACUGCCUUCGAUACUGUCUUGCUAGAGUGUGGAAGAGGUAAGUGGAACUGCAAGCGUAGAGGUGAAAUUCGUAGAUAUUUGCAAGAACACCAGUGGCGAAGGCGGCUUACUGGUCCAUUACUGACGCUGAGAUGCGAAAGCGUGGGGAGCAAACAGG